AUAAUUAAUGCUUAAAGAACACUAUCAGUAAAAAAUAACAGCAAACGAGGCAAUGAAUCAUAAUAGAUAAGAGGGACAUCCUAUGUGGGUCCCAACAUUGCUUACACUUGGCAUUAAAUGCUAACAAAUAUGAAUAAAGGGGGAAUAAAACAUGAUACUCAACAAACAAAUUCUCCAUUUCAAAAUUCCCUUUCCCGACCUCUCAAAUUUCCUCUCUUCCUAUCAUCUUCUCAAAUCAACAUGGCCGGAGAAGGGUGGCGAUCGGAGGUAGCGCCACCAUCUUCUCUGGCUCUCGAACAACCCUAAACCCCUUGAAUAUAACACGAACCCCCCCCCCCCCUUAAAUUUCAUCUCUAAACCCAAUCUAAAGUCAAUUUUAAAAAAAUCCUCACCAUUAAGUCAAAUCAGGCUUACCGAUUCCCACAAAAAGAAGCCUCAUAAAACGUUCAAUAACAUAUCAACUUUGACAUCACAAUAGAAACAAAAUCUAAGCACAAACAAAAACAUGAUCCGAGGAAACCCUAUUUUUUGAAACCGAAAUUAAAUUAAGAUGAUAUAAUGAAUCAAGCAGUUGGUAUGUGGGUUUUUCUCAAUAGGCGAACAUUAUGGUAAUGAGAAAUCAAGGAAAGGAGGAAAGCUUACAAGAUCAGAGCUAGUUUGAUAAGAAAUUACAGUGAGCUUGUAGGUUUAAGGUUGACACGGUUAUUCUUGCAAAAUGGCAUUUUUCUAGAGUGAACUUUUGACCUAAUAUUCUGACAUGCAUCCUUGCUUUUGGAUGGGUUGCAACCAAAGUCCCCUUGUGCUAUUGUGCUGAAGUAAUUUUGAAUUUUAUUGAAUCCUUGUACUUUUGUAGCAAAAAUCUAUUUGUAACUUUGUACUACUAUUUGGCUCUUUGUAGGAUCUUCUCUUAAUAAUAGAAACAAGUCCUAUAUCCUACUGUUAGCCUUCACUUUGCAGGCUACAAAUGGCUUCGAGUUGUCGGUUUAACGUGAAUUUGAUGUAACUUGAAAAAUGAAAGGAAAUGGCAUCUAGGGACGCAUCAUAAUAGGGUGCUUUGUGGCUGCCAAUUUGAAUCUUCCUCCUUUCAUUUGGCUUGAUUGUGAUGUAAUAAACCAUGUAAUUUCUAUGUAAAUGACAAACUUAUAUGUUAUGCCUUUAGUAAUGAAAUUGAAACACUUAUGUUUGUAACUCA